AGAUGGCAAGAGCAGCUGAGAAAUGGAAAACCAGACAGGAAGGAGCUCCCAAACUCUGCUCCUUGAAGCCAGUGGCCAUCCAAGGGUGGGGCCCAGCCAUGGCCCAGCCCCACUGCACAGGGAUGGCCAUUGCCCAGCCCUGCUGGACAAGUCCAAGGUGGCAGCCAGGACCUGAGGGUCCCCCUUGCACCCUUGGCUUUGAUUCUGGCAGCUUUAGAGCUGCUGCAAAGUACCACCCUUGCCUGCUGCUGAGAAGAUGAGAAGAUGGCAAUUCCCCCCCGGAAGGUGGGGAGGGAGAGGGAGAAUUUGCACCUCAGGAGACAUGCAAAUUUAACUCAAAACCCAGACUACACUGGGACAAGAAGCCCACCAAAUCCUGGAAAAUACCCCAAAAGAGACGAGCCAAAGCAGCAUUGAGAGGUCAGGGUGGUGUUUGUACAGCAGGAGGGAGGUCUAAAGCUGGCAGAGAUGCUAAGAACAUCAGUCACUCCUUGCCCUGAUUCAAACGAAGUGAGUUGGACCCAGGACCCCCUGGACCGACAAGCCGAACUGAACCCGGGGUAUAUCCCCACUGCCCUAGCAAGGACAGAAAUCCCGACUCUGCUCCUUGUGAACAGAGCUGCACAAAUCCUCCUCUUCCGAGUCACUGCUGGGAGCAGCAGCAGGAAUCUGUGGACCUGCCUACCCCCCCAUUUUGAGCUGAUCACUUUUAAUAAAGGCAUUAAAAAGGAGAAAGAA